UAAGCGACUAAGCGUACACGGUGGAUGCCCUGGCAGUCAGAGGCGAUGAAGGACGUGCUAAUCUGCGAUAAGCGUCGGUAAGGUGAUAUGAACCGUUAUAACCGGCGAUUUCCGAAUGGGGAAACCCAGUGUGAUUCGUCACACUAUCAUUAACUGAAUCCAUAGGUUAAUGAGGCGAACCGGGGGAACUGAAACAUCUAAGUACCCCGAGGAAAAGAAAUCAACCGAGAUUCCCCCAGUAGCGGCGAGCGAACGGGGAGGAGCCCAGAGCCUGAAUCAGUGUGUGUGUUAGUGGAAGCGUCUGGAAAGGCGCGCGAUACAGGGUGACAGCCCCGUACACAAAAAUGCACAUGCUGUGAGCUCGAUGAGUAGGGCGGGACACGUGGUAUCCUGUCUGAAUAUGGGGGGACCAUCCUCCAAGGCUAAAUACUCCUGACUGACCGAUAGUGAACCAGUACCGUGAGGGAAAGGCGAAAAGAACCCCGGCGAGGGGAGUGAAAAAGAACCUGAAACCGUGUACGUACAAGCAGUGGGAGCCUCUUUAUGGGGUGACUGCGUACCUUUUGUAUAAUGGGUCAGCGACUUAUAUUCUGUAGCAAGGUUAACCGAAUAGGGGAGCCGAAGGGAAACCGAGUCUUAACUGGGCGUUAAGUUGCAGGGUAUAGACCCGAAACCCGGUGAUCUAGCCAUGGGCAGGUUGAAGGUUGGGUAACACUAACUGGAGGACCGAACCGACUAAUGUUGAAAAAUUAGCGGAUGACUUGUGGCUGGGGGUGAAAGGCCAAUCAAACCGGGAGAUAGCUGGUUCUCCCCGAAAGCUAUUUAGGUAGCGCCUCGUGAACUCAUCUCCGGGGGUAGAGCACUGUUUCGGCAAGGGGGUCAUCCCGACUUACCAACCCGAUGCAAACUGCGAAUACCGGAGAAUGUUAUCACGGGAGACACACGGCGGGUGCUAACGUCCGUCGUGAAGAGGGAAACAACCCAGACCGCCAGCUAAGGUCCCAAAGUCAUGGUUAAGUGGGAAACGAUGUGGGAAGGCCCAGACAGCCAGGAUGUUGGCUUAGACGCAGCCAUCAUUUAAAGAAAGCGUAAUAGCUCACUGGUCGAGUCGGCCUGCGCGGAAGAUGUAACGGGGCUAAACCAUGCACCGAAGCUGCGGCAGCGACGCUUAUGCGUUGUUGGGUAGGGGAGCGUUCUGUAAGCCUGUGAAGGUGUGCUGUGAGGCAUGCUGGAGGUAUCAGAAGUGCGAAUGCUGACAUAAGUAACGAUAAAGCGGGUGAAAAGCCCGCUCGCCGGAAGACCAAGGGUUCCUGUCCAACGUUAAUCGGGGCAGGGUGAGUCGACCCCUAAGGCGAGGCCGAAAGGCGUAGUCGAUGGGAAACAGGUUAAUAUUCCUGUACUUGGUGUUACUGCGAAGGGGGGACGGAGAAGGCUAUGUUGGCCGGGCGACGGUUGUCCCGGUUUAAGCGUGUAGGCUGGUUUUCCAGGCAAAUCCGGAAAAUCAAGGCUGAGGCGUGAUGACGAGGCACUACGGUGCUGAAGCAACAAAUGCCCUGCUUCCAGGAAAAGCCUCUAAGCAUCAGGUAACAUCAAAUCGUACCCCAAACCGACACAGGUGGUCAGGUAGAGAAUACCAAGGCGCUUGAGAGAACUCGGGUGAAGGAACUAGGCAAAAUGGUGCCGUAACUUCGGGAGAAGGCACGCUGAUAUGUAGGUGAAGUCCCUCGCGGAUGGAGCUGAAAUCAGUCGAAGGUACCAGCUGGCUGCAACUGUUUAUUAAAAACACAGCACUGUGCAAACACGAAAGUGGACGUAUAACGGUGUGACGCCUGCCCGGUGCCGGAAGGUUAAUUGAUGGGGUCAGCGCAAGCGAAGCUCUUGAUCGAAGCCCCGGUAAACGGCGGCCGUAACUAUAACGGUCCUAAGGUAGCGAAAUUCCUUGUCGGGUAAGUUCCGACCUGCACGAAUGGCGUAAUGAUGGCCAGGCUGUCUCCACCCGAGACUCAGUGAAAUUGAACUCGCUGUGAAGAUGCAGUGUACCCGCGGCAAGACGGAAAGACCCCGUGAACCUUUACUAUAGCUUGACACUGAACAUUGAGCCUUGAUGUGUAGGAUAGGUGGGAGGCUUAGAAGUGUGGACGCCAGUCUGCAUGGAGCCGACCUUGAAAUACCACCCUUUAAUGUUUGAUGUUCUAACGUUGACCCGUAAUCCGGGUUGCGGACAGUGUCUGGUGGGUAGUUUGACUGGGGCGGUCUCCUCCUAAAGAGUAACGGAGGAGCACGAAGGUUGGCUAAUCCUGGUCGGACAUCAGGAGGUUAGUGCAAUGGCAUAAGCCAGCUUGACUGCGAGCGUGACGGCGCGAGCAGGUGCGAAAGCAGGUCAUAGUGAUCCGGUGGUUCUGAAUGGAAGGGCCAUCGCUCAACGGAUAAAAGGUACUCCGGGGAUAACAGGCUGAUACCGCCCAAGAGUUCAUAUCGACGGCGGUGUUUGGCACCUCGAUGUCGGCUCAUCACAUCCUGGGGCUGAAGUAGGUCCCAAGGGUAUGGCUGUUCGCCAUUUAAAGUGGUACGCGAGCUGGGUUUAGAACGUCGUGAGACAGUUCGGUCCCUAUCUGCCGUGGGCGCUGGAGAACUGAGGGGGGCUGCUCCUAGUACGAGAGGACCGGAGUGGACGCAUCACUGGUGUUCGGGUUGUCAUGCCUAUGGCACUGCCCGGUAGCUAAAUGCGGAAGAGAUAAGUGCUGAAAGCAUCUAAGCACGAAACUUGCCCGAGAUGAGUUCUCCCUGACUCCUUGAGAGUCCUGAAGGAACGUUGAAGACGACGACGUUGAUAGGCCGGGUGUGUAAGCGCAGCGAUGCGUUGAGCUAACCGGUACUAAUGAACCGUGAGGCUUAACCU
rnacentral:rRNA from 1 species